AGACGAGCAUGAAAGUAGGUCACUGAGCCCAAAUUUGGCUUGUUAGGCAGGGGACCAAAGUCCAGCUCCUCUACUAACUUUUCUAGAACUGCUGGAUUCAGAGCAAAGUAGAGGUUAAGGAGAAUCCUGUACAAGAGGGAUAGGCACCACGCCGCUGAAGUUAAAAACUACUUUAUCACUCUUGCAAUUCGCAAAGUUAUAAACUGGGAGGAAGGCAGGUCUGGAAAGAAGUUGCUGAAUGCGACCAGAGACACACCCAAAUGGAAGCUGAGUCCAAUACCUCUUAAGAAAAGAUUUCCUGGGGCAAUCUGAUCCAAGCCAGCUCAGACUUGAAUCUUCAUGCCCCAAAACCAGGGUGGGGAGAAUGCAGAACUAAGGGGACGAAUGAAACCUGAAUGAGUCAAAAGCAGAGCCUCUCGGGACCAAACAGGAGAAAAUGUG